rnacentral:rRNA from 1 species
GGCGCACGGGUGCGUAACACGUAUGCAACCUACCUCUGACUGGGGAAUAGCCUUCCGAAAGGGAGAUUAAUACCGCAUUAUAUUAUAGAAAGGCAUCUUUUUAUAAUCAAACCUCAGGGGGUCAGAGAUGGGCAUGCGUCCGAUUAGUUUGUUGGUGAGGUAACGGCUCACCAAGACUACGAUCGGUAGGGGGUCUGAGAGGAUGAUCCCCCCACACUGGUACUGAGACACGGACCAG